rnacentral:tRNA from 1 species
UCCCUGGUAGCCUAGUGGUUAAAGGUCCAGCAUUGUCAUUGCUGUGGUUCAGGUCACUGCUGUGGCACAGGUUCAAUCCCUGGCCCAGGAA